UUAUAAGAGACAGCAGCCGCCGCGGUAAUACAGAGGGUGCAAGCGUUAAUCGGAAUUACUGGGCGUAAAGCGAGCGUAGGUGGCUUGAUAAGUCAGAUGUGAAAUCCCCGGGCUUAACCUGGGAACUGCAUCUGAUACUGUUAGGCUAGAAUAGGUGAGAGGAAGGUAGAAUUCCAGGUGUAGCGGUGAAAUGCGUAGAGAUCUGGAGGAAUACCGAUGGCGAAGGCAGCCUUCUGGCAUCAUAUUGACACUGAGGUUCGAAAGCGUGGGUAGCAAACAGGAUUAGAUACCCCCGUAGUCCCUGUCUCUUAUAC
rnacentral:rRNA from 1 species